rnacentral:pre_miRNA from 1 species
GAUUUCAACUGAAAAAGUCAUCAAUCACAAAGUGGUAUAACUCAUCAAUAUCUAUAACUUUUAUUUUGGUCGUUUCUUCAUACGACAAAGUUAUGUGUAACAUUGUUCACAAAAUGUACAUCUGUUAUAUAGUUUUAUAAACUAUAGAGAGAGAUAUGUAAAUUUUGUGAAAAUGUUACGAUCACUUUGUUGGAUGAAAAAAUGACCAAAAUAUAAGUUAUAGAUCUUGAUGAGUUAUACAACUUUGUUGUUGAUGACUUUUUCAACUGAAAUC